rnacentral:rRNA from 1 species
GUACACUCCUGCGGGAGGCAGCAGUGGGGAAUAUUGGACAAUGGGCGCAAGCCUGAUCCAGCCAUGCCGCGUGAGUGAUGAAGGCCCUAGGGUUGUAAAGCUCUUUCACCGGUGAAGAUAAUGACGGUAACCGGAGAAGAAGCCCCGGCUAACUUCGUGCCAGCAGCCGCGGUAAUACGAAGGGGGCUAGCGUUGUUCGGAUUUACUGGGCGUAAAGCGCACGUAGGCGGACUAUUAAGUCAGGGGUGAAAUCCCGGGGCUCAACCCCGGAACUGCCUUUGAUACUGGUAGUCUUGAGUUCGAGAGAGGUGAGUGGAAUUCCGAGUGUAGAGGUGAAAUUCGUAGAUAUUCGGAGGAACACCAGUGGCGAAGGCGGCUCACUGGCUCGAUACUGACGCUGAGGUGCGAAAGCGUGGGGAGCAAACAGGAUUAGAUACCCGAGUAGUCCCAU